GUAGGCCUAACACAUGCAAGUCGAACGGCAGCACAGGAGAGCUUGCUCUCUGGGUGGCGAGUGGCGGACGGGUGAGGAAUACGUAGGAAUCUGCCCUUAAGUGAGGGAUAACCAGGGGAAACCCUGACUAAUACCGCAUGAUCUCUUCGGAGCAAAGAGGGGGACCGCAAGGCCUCUCGCUUCUGGAUGAGCCUACGUCUGAUUAGCUAGUUGGUAGGGUAAAGGCCUACCAAGGCGACGAUCAGUAACUGGUCUGAGAGGAUGAUCAGUCACACCGGAACUGAGACACGGUCCGGACUCCUACGGGAGGCAGCAGUGGGGAAUAUUGGACAAUGGGCGCAAGCCUGAUCCAGCAAUGCCGCGUGUGUGAAGAAGGCCUUCGGGUUGUAAAGCACUUUAGCCUGGAAAGAAAAAACUUUGGUUAACACCCAAAGUCUUGACGGUACCAGGAGAAUAAGCACCGGCUAACUCUGUGCCAGCCGCCGCCGUAAUAC
rnacentral:rRNA from 1 species